GCCUGUGGGAUAGCUCAAUCAGUAGAGCAUGAGACUCUUGAUCUCAAGGUUGUAGGAUUGAGCUCCACGUUGGGCA